GAGACUCUGUGCGCGUGCAUAUCAAUAAGCGGAGGAAAAGAAACUAACAAGGAUUCCCUUAGUAACGGCGAGUGAAGCGGGAAGAGCUCAAAUUUGAAAUCUUCAAGGUUCUACCUUGACGAAUUGUAGUUUAUAGAAGUGUUUUCUGUUAGUAGAGUGGCAAAAGUUCUUUGGAAUAGGACAUCAUAGAGGGUGAGAAUCCCGUAUUUGGUCAUUCUUUCUAGCUUUGUGAUACACUUUCAACGAGUCGGAUUGUUUGGGAAUGCAGUCCAAAAUGGGUGGUAAAUUUCAUCUAAAGCUAAAUAUUGGCGAGAGACCGAUAGCGAACAAGUACCGUGAGGGAAAGAUGAAAAGAACUUUGAAAAGAGAGUUAAACAGUACGUGAAAUUGUCAAAAGGGAAGCGUUUGACACCAGUGUUGUUUAGUUCCGAAAAUCAAUUCACUAAUUUUUGAUUUUGAGUAGUAUGACUUCAUCAGCUUGCUGCUUUCUUUACGGAAACUUUCUUGAAUGCACUUUUCAGUUAACAAGUCAACAUCAAUUUCUUUUGUUGUAAAAGGGUACGAGGAAGGUGGCUUGCGCUUUCGGAUAAAGUGUUUAUAGCCUUGUAUCCUCUGCAAUCGGAGAGAUUGAGGUCUGCAGCGUAGAUCCUUCGGGGUUAGAUACAUUUGUGCUAAGUUAUAGCUUUUCAUAGACAACUUGUUGACUAUGUUAGUCUUGUAGCUUACUCGCUUAUGCUAUUUUACCUACGCUUAGGAUGUUGACGAUCAGCUGAGCGCG
rnacentral:rRNA from 1 species